rnacentral:rRNA from 1 species
GAUGAACGCUGGCGGCGUGCCUAAUACAUGCAAGUCGAGCAAACAGACGAGGAGCUUGCUCCUCUGACGUUAGCGGCGGACGGGUGAGUAACACGUGGAUAACCUACCUAUAAGACUGGGAUAACUUCGGGAAACCGGAGCUAAUACCGGAUAAUAUAUUGAACCGCAUGGUUCAAUAGUGAAAGACGGUUUUGCUGUCACUUAUAGAUGGAUCCGCGCCGCAUUAGCUAGUUGGUAAGGUAACGGCUUACCAAGGCAACGAUGCGUAGCCGACCUGAGAGGGUGAUCGGCCACACUGGAACUGAGACACGGUCCAGACUCCUACGGGAGGCAGCAGUAGGGAAUCUUCCGCAAUGGGCGAAAGCCUGACGGAGCAACGCCGCGUGAGUGAUGAAGGUCUUCGGAUCGUAAAACUCUGUUAUUAGGGAAGAACAAAUGUGUAAGUAACUAUGCACGUCUUGACGGUACCUAAUCAGAAAGCCACGGCUAACUACGUG